CUGAGUUCCAGUAACUCAAUUCUCUGCCUGGUGCAUUCCCCUCCUAUGUUGGUGCGGAAAUUGUUUGAACUUUAGAAUCUAUUUAAGCUGCUAAAUCCCUAGUCAUGUUGGUUUGAUAUGACAUAAAAGAUCUGUUUUAAGUUAUUUAUUUUCUAUAAGCUGGUUCUGUGUGGGAUGAUGAUGAUGGCAAAUGUGUCUGUAAGCUCCUCUCUUCUGAAUGGUU
rnacentral:lncRNA from 1 species